UUCCGGCAGAAUAGUACUCCACUGUGC
rnacentral:piRNA from 1 species